GACCGUGAAACCGCUCAGAGUAUAAGCCCAUGGAGCUUGGAUGGCUUCCGCAGAGAGGUGCAUCAUACGUGGUGCAUCCACAGGCAGCAGUGUGGCUCGUCAGGUAGGGGCCUCGAGUGGUCACCGCCGACGUACGGGGUUCGGCCGCGGGUCCUUGUCGGGCACGCGGUUGUUCCUUAUGAAUGGAUGUUCAGAGCUGUUGUUCUAAUGCGGGUUGGCCCACCACAGCACGUUGUGAGGUCACCCACAGGCUCAAACUGCCGAUCGCGUACCCAGGACGAUGGCUCAGAUGCGUGUACGACAAUGCUCUCCCUCCUCCGUCGGAGGAGAGGGGGGCCUACGCGCGCCUAGUCCUGGGUCGGGCGGCGACCGAGUUAAAAACCUGGUAUGAUCCUCGUGCGACGAGCUGCUUUCUGGCCAGACCGGCGUCCCGGCCAUCUCCCUGUGCCGGAGGUGGUCGACCCCAGGCGGUUUGACCCUCUGUAUGAGUCACAUCAACAAGGUCUCUCAGCCGGGCGCUGGUCUGAGUGGUGUAAUGUCCAGCACCAUCGGUCACGUCUCGAAACACGGGCCAAGGAGUAUAG
rnacentral:rRNA from 1 species